AAAUCACGCAAAACGACGCAUAAAAUAUUGGACCUUUCGCGAUUUUUCCGUUUUGCUGAUUUCGACCCCUCAGCGAACAUUUUGCGAUUCCCGAAGAUCCGUCCGUCGGAUUUCCGAACGGAUCACGCCAGCGCAUUUAGCACGACCGGGACAUCGAAUCUAGCAUUUCUUUUCGUGCGAUUUGGUCUCCAAUUUACAAUGAAACCAGCCCUCUCUGCAAUCCACCAAUCAUUACACACACACACACACACAUAUAUAUAUAUAUAUAUAUAUCCAAUCAAACCUCUUUUUCUCGAAAAUCGUGCAUCAGAACCCAAAUCCGUCAGU
rnacentral:lncRNA from 1 species